rnacentral:rRNA from 1 species
GCAUAACGCGAAGAACCUUACCUAGGCUUGACAUGCAUCUCUAAGCGCGUGAAAGCGCGUGACCCUUCGGGGGAUUUGCACAGGUGCUGCAUGGCCGUCGUCAGCUCGUGUCGUGAGAUGUUGGGUUAAGUCCCGCAACGAGCGCAACCCUUGUGAACAGUUGCCAGCACUUAAGGUGGGAACUCUGUUCAGACUGCCCAGAUCAACUGGGAGGAAGGUGGGGACGACGUCAGGUCAGUAUGGCCCUUACGCCUAGGGCUGCACACGUACUACAAUGCCCAGCACAAUGAGAACCGAGACCGCGAGGUAGAGGAAAUCUAAAAACUGGGCCCAGUUCGGAUUGGAGGCUGCAACUCGCCUCCAUGAAGUUGGAAUCGCUAGUAAUGGCGCAUCAGCUACGGCGCCGUGAAUACGUUCCCGGGUCUUGUACACACCG